UACGCUGGCGGCACGCCUAAACAUGCAAGUCGAACGAAGUAGCAAUACUUAGUGGCAGACGGGUGAGUAACAUGUAGGUAUCUGCCCUUUGGCCUGGAAUAACACGAGGAAACUUGUGCUAAUACCGGAUAAGUCUUUACGGAGAAAGCUUUAUGCACCAUUGGAUGAGCCUGCACUUGAUUAGUUUGUUGGUGGGGUAAUGGCCUACCAAGACUGUGAUCAAUAGCUGAUUUGAGAGGAUGAUCAGCCACAUUGGGACUGAGACACGGCCCAAACUCCUACGGGAGGCAGCAGUGGGGAAUCUUGCACAAUGGAGGAAACUCUGAUGCAGCGAUGCCGCGUGAGUGAAGAAGGCCUUUGGGUUGUAAAGCUCUUUCGUCGGGGAAGAAAAUGACUGUACCCGAAUAAGAAGGUCCGG
rnacentral:rRNA from 1 species